AUUGAACGCUGGCGGCAGGCCUAACACAUGCAAGUCGAGCGCGCGGCGGACGGGUGAGUAAUGUCUGGGAAACUGCCUGAUGGAGGGGGAUAACUACUGGAAACGGUAGCUAAUACCGCAUACCAUCAGAUGUGCCCAGAUGGGAUUAGCUAGUAGGUGGGGUAACGGCUCACCUAGGCGACGAUCCCUAGCUGGUCUGAGAGGAUGACCAGCGACACUGGAACUGAGACACGGGACAGAGUCCAACGGGAGGCAGCAGUGGGGAAUAUGGCACAAUGGGCGCAAGCCUGAAGCAGCCAUGAGGCGUGUGUGAAGAAGGACUUCGGGUUGUAAAGCACUUUCAGCGGGGAGGCGUUAGCCGCAGAAGAAGCACCGGCUAACUCCGUGCCAGCAGCCGCGGUAAUAC
rnacentral:rRNA from 1 species